ACAACAACAUUUGGACCAUCGGUCUACCGAGCAAAUGUCACCCGCUCGGUGGAAGAUCUUCCCUUUGUCGUAUACA
rnacentral:pre_miRNA from 1 species